rnacentral:rRNA from 1 species
CACCAGACUCCUACGGGAGGCAGCAGUGGGGAAUAUUGCACAAUGGGGGAAACCCUGAUGCAGCAACGCCGCGUGAGUGAAGAAGUAUUUCGGUAUGUAAAGCUCUAUCAGCAGGGAAGAAAAUGACGGUACCUGAGUAAGAAGCCCCGGCUAACUACGUGCCAGCAGCCGCGGUAAUACGUAGGGGGCAAGCGUUAUCCGGAUUUACUGGGUGUAAAGGGGGCGCAGACGGCGAUGCAAGCCAGGAGUGAAAGCCCGGGGCCCAACCCCGGGACUGCUCUUGGAACUGCGUGGCUGGAGUGCAGGAGGGGCAGGCGGAAUUCCUGGUGUAGCGGUGAAAUGCGUAGAUAUCAGGAGGAACACCGGUGGCGAAGGCGGCCUGCUGAACUGCAACUGACGUUGAGGCCCGAAAGCGUGGGGAGCAAACAGGAUUAGAUACCCGUGUAAC